UGGUUCUACUUGGAGGAGAUGGACAGACAGGAGGAAUCCAGUAUUCAUCAGUCUGCCUGACUGCAUGUGUUUAUAUCUGAGUAUGCAUGCCUUCACUUAUUAUGCAAGAUUAGUACAGCCUUCCCUCACUUAACAUCAUUAAUUCUAACGGCUGGAAAUCUGAAAAUUUAAUAAAAAACAUUAAGCGGAGAAAAAAAAUUUACAUAGUUUUCAAUGGAAAAAAAAAAAAAAAAAAAAUGCACUACCAUGACCCCCACCCACUACCAACAAUUUUCUACAAGUCUAGUAACACAUAGUAAAAUGCCUGUUAAUGAAUUAAAACCAUAGUUUUAGGAUGUUAAAAUGCUUUAGACAUUCAUUUCUGCUCACCAAAAACAAAAAGAGACGAUGCAGCAUGAACAUUUACUAUAUGGCAUGCGAAAAUAAAGAAUGAAAAAAUGGGAAGGGGAAGGAGAGGAACACGGAAAAGACGUCAAAAAUGUUCAAUGACCUACAAAAAACUUCCUAACACUAAUGGUAUUCACCAAACAUAGUGAAUUCUACAAUAUUGAAGGAAGAAGACGGGGUGGACAAGGUUGGGAAUCAGUCAUGUCAUUAUGAGAUGGAGGCGUAAAAGACUCAUAGCCCUGUACUUUAGCAGAAUUGUGGAUAACAGCACACCACAACUUGUCUCUCCAUCCACUGAAGCAGUUUUUGUGGCAUUUUCUCUACUUUCUUGGGGCUCGUUUUGCCACAGUACAACAAAUACCACCAGAAAACAAUGGAAGAAGACAAGAAAACACUUUAGGAGCAGUUGUGUGACACAUGAAUAGUGUGUAAUGGGUAAUGUGUACCCAACAUGGUGACAUAAUGGUGCACAAUUCACGAGUAUAAACAGUGCUUGUUGAUGUCACUGUCUUGCUGAUGACAUUAUAGUGACAAAAUGGGAUGUUAUAUGAGAAAGUAAUAUUAAAAACCAAGGCACUGCAAUAAAUUUUAACUAAACAGAUGUUAAGUGAGGGAA
rnacentral:lncRNA from 1 species